AGAGUUUGAUCCUGGCUCAGGACGAACGCUGGCGGCGUGCCUAACACAUGCAAGUCGAACGGACCUAGCCUUGUAGCAAUACGGGGCGAAAGUUAGUGGCGAACGGGUGAGUAAUGCGUGAGCAACCUGCCUUUCAGAGGGGGACAACAGCUGGAAACGGCUGCUAAUACCGCAUAACGUAUUCGGAUGGCAUCAUCUGAAUACCAAAGGAGCAAUUCGCUGAAAGAUGGGCUCACGUCUGAUUAGCUAGUUGGUGAGGUAACGGCUCACCAAGGCUGCGAUCAGUAGCCGGUCUGAGAGGAUGAACGGCCACAUUGGGACUGAGAUACGGCCCAGACUCCUACGGGAGGCAGCAGUGAGGAAUAUUGGUCAAUGGAGGCAACUCUGAACCAGCCAAGUCGCGUGAAGGAUGAAGGUCUUAUGGAUUGUAAACUUCUUUUGCAAGGGAAUAAAGUGGGGGACGUGUCCUCCUUUGCAUGUACCUUGCGAAUAAGGAUCGGCUAACUCCGUGCCAGCAGCCGCGGUAAUACGUAGGGGGCAAGCGUUAUCCGGAAUUACUGGGUGUAAAGGGAGCGUAGGCGGCAUGGUAAGCCAGAUGUGAAAGCCCGAAGCUUAACUUCGAGGAUUGCAUUUGGAACUAUCAAGCUAGAGUACAGGAGAGGUAAGUGGAAUUCCUAGUGUAGCGGUGAAAUGCGUAGAUAUUAGGAAGAACACCAGUGGCGAAGGCGACUUACUGGACUGAAACUGACGCUGAGGCUCGAAAGCGUGGGGAGCGAACAGGAUUAGAUACCCUGGUAGUCCACGCCGUAAACGAUGAGUGCUAGGUGUCGGAGGGGAACCUUCGGUGCCGCAGCAAACGCAAUAAGCACUCCACCUGGGGAGUACGAUCGCAAGAUUGAAACCAAAGGAAUUGACGG
rnacentral:rRNA from 1 species